GACGAACGCUGGCGGCGUGCUUAACACAUGCAAGUCGAGCGGUAAGGCCCUUUCGGGGGUACACGAGCGGCGAACGGGCGAGUAACACGUGGGUGACCUGCCCUCAGCUCUGGGAUAAGCCUGGGAAACCGGGUCUAAUACCGGAUAUGACUCCAUGACGCAUGUUGUGGGGUGGAAAGCCUUGUGCGGCUGAGGAUGGGCCCGCGGCCUAUCAGCUUGUUGGUGGGGUGANGGCCUACCAAGGCGACGACGAGGUACGCCGGCCUG
rnacentral:rRNA from 1 species